GACGUAGGGCGCGAGCGUUGUCCGGAUUUAUUGGGCGUAAAGAGCUCGUAGGUGGCUUGUUGCGUCUGCCGUGAAAGCCCGUGGCUUAACUGCGGGUCUGCGGUGGAUACGGGCAGGCUAGAGGCUGGUAGGGGCAAGCGGAAUUCCUGGUGUAGCGGUGAAAUGCGCAGAUAUCAGGAGGAACACCGGUGGCGAAGGCGGCUUGCUGGGCCAGUUCUGACGCUGGAGGAGCGGAAAGCGUGGGGAGCGAACAGG
rnacentral:rRNA from 1 species